AUGCUGGAGACAGUCUGUGGAUGUGCGGGGAAGCCAAUAAUUGAAGAUACUCGUUCUUGCCACUGUGAAUGCCCUGCCCUCAUAAGGUUGUUGCAGUCAAAGGACAAUGGUUGGUAUAUAGCUGAGCAUCGAGAAGUGCACAACCAUGCACUGUCACAGACAUUUUUUUUUGAUAAAAGAGAGCAUUCUCUCCGAUUUCCAUUAAGAGAAAUCACCAUGUCUUACAAAGAAAAAACAGGAAAUAAAAACUGCAGCAUAACCCCCCCCCCUACGCAGUACUGUCACAGAAAUAUGGUCAGACACAAGCAUAUUGAUGUGUACAACAGGGAUCUUGUGAAGCAGCUUUGGCAAAACAAUGUAAACCUUGCCAAGGUGUACAUCAUUAUCAGUAGCUUCUUUGGAAGAUGGAGAAUGUACCAUUCACAAAGAGAGCAUUACGGAAUCUGUGUGGUAAGAUAA
rnacentral:rRNA from 1 species